GAUGAACGCUGGCGGCGUGCCUAAUACAUGCAAGUCGAGCGAACAGACGAGGAGCUUGCUCCUCUGACGUUAGCGGCGGACGGGUGAGUAACACGUGGAUAACCUACCUAUAAGACUGGGAUAACUUCGGGAAACCGGAGCUAAUACCGGAUAAUAUAUUGAACCGCAUGGUUCAAUAGUGAAAGACGGUUUUGCUGUCACUUAUAGAUGGAUCCGCGCCGCAUUAGCUAGUUGGUAAGGUAACGGCUUACCAAGGCAACGAUGCGUAGCCGACCUGAGAGGGGGAUGGCCAAACGGGGAACUGCGACCGGGCCCAGCCCCAGGGGGGAGGCAGCAGGGGGAAAUUGUGCGGAAGGGGGAAGAGCCGAACGGGAAAACGCGGGGGGAGGGAUAAGGGUCUCAGUAGCAAAAACCUUUUUUAUGGGAAAAAAAAAAAUGUGUAAUCAAAUGUGCACGUCUGGAGGUUACCAAAGAAGAAAGCCAGGGCUAACUAGGUG
rnacentral:rRNA from 1 species